UUACGUAGAUGUUCUGCUCCUAAAGAAAAUAAAGUUCUUCAAAAUUCAAUGUCACAUUGAGAACUCUAUACAUUCAAUGUCACAUAGAUUUUUCGAUUGUGCUUUAUUUUGUUGAUUUAUUUGAAGGUAUAGUUGCAAGGCUUAUUGCCAUUUGAUUUCUAAUUACACGUGUUAGUUUAUAUAUGCUAAGGUUAUCAUUAUGUAUAGAGUACAUGCAUACACGAAUCUAUAUAGAUGAGUUUCUACACAUUGUGAAUUAACAACUCACAUUUUGCAUAUUUUCUAAUAAUAAUACAUAGAGCAUCUGCAAUAUUUAGCAAUUAUAAUUUACUCCACACAUUGGAAAAUCAUAAUUCAGUUUUUGAUUAUGAUUACAUAGAGCAUCUGCAACAUUUCUGAUUGUAAUUCAAUUUAUAACUAAAUCAUAAUUGAAACAAAAAAAGCAUAAAUGUUGCAGAAAUGUGAGGGAUUUAUGUUGCAGUUCCUAAUUGUGGAAACUAAAUGAGUGAUGGCUUUUCUGUAGAAGCUAAAUGUUGCGAGCGGAGGCUUUUCUGUAGGAACUGAAAUGUUGCAGAUGCUCUAUGUAAUUCAAUUUAUAACUAAAUCAUAAUUGUACAUCUUACUUAAUUAAAGAAAAUCCGAGCUGCAUAUCAUACCUCAUUGGAACACAUGUUUUACUCCACACAGGUGAAGAAGCGCCCUGCAUAUCUCUUCCCUAAGUCACCUUAGUCUCUUUUACACUUGAACACAACAGUUUCAUUCACCCAAGUUUCUAAAU
rnacentral:lncRNA from 1 species